AUUGAACGCUGGCGGCAGGCCUAACACAUGCAAGUCGAGCGGAGCGGCGGACGGGUGAGUAAUGCCUAGGAAUCUGCCUGGUAGUGGGGGAUAACGUCCGGAAACGGGCGCUAAUAUCGCAUACUAUCAGAUGAGCCUAGGUCGGAUUGGUUAGUUGGUGGGGUAAAGGCCUACCAAGGCGACGAUCCGUAACUGGUCUGAGAGGAUGAUCAGUCACACUGGAACUGAGACCGGGUCCAGACGCAUACGGGAGGCAGCCGUGGUGAAUAUUGGACAAUGGGCGAAGACCUGAUGCAGCCAGGCCGCGUGUGUGAAGAAGGUCUUCGGAUUGUAAAGCGCUGUAAGUUGGGAUGCGUUACCAACAGAAUAAGCACCGGCUAACUUCGUGCCAGCCGCCGCGGUAAUUC
rnacentral:rRNA from 1 species